UUUUAUUAUCUUUUGAAAUAGAACUUGAAGAUACAACACACUUGGAUUUGAUCCAAAUUAAUUUGUAAACUGCGGGAUUAGAAACAAAAACACGGCGCCGUAAGUAAAAAGUGGCAGCACCAGCUCUGCACAGGGUGAACACAUUGCCAAUUUAGAGAAAUAUCAACCAACGAAGAAUUUAAUUUGAAAACUUUUUAUCAAGCUUAUUAGUAUUCUUGCAAAUUGUGGAUUAGUUUUAGAAUUCUUUCGCGUACAAUGAUUUUAAGUGAGUUUAGUGCUUAGCAAGCUGUCGUUUUCGUUUUAAGCAACAUUGUACUUCCGGUGUGUGUCAAAAUUAGAGAAGCGACCAUUGCCAUGUGCAUUUCCGUCUAGAUUUUGUUUCCGCUAAAAGAAAAGUGUAAUACGAAGUAAUUUCUAGCAUUUUCGAAAUGAAAAAAUGCAAUUCAAAUGAUUUAUAAAUAUCAGUGAAAGUGUAAAUGCAUGGCUAACGAAAGCAGCAACAAAAAUAUAUAUUAAUAUACAAGCAUAACCUCAAACGAAAAAAAAUGGUUUCCUAAUUGAAAGCAGAAGUGCCCAUUACAAAACUGUUAACGUAUAUAAAUUUAUAUGAAAUAUACUCCACUUCACUCCCGGAGACCACCGUUAACUGCAGAAGCUCACGACUGCAUUUGCUGGGCUAGAAGUGGCGCAAUAUACACAUAUGCGUGUAGGUAUAUAUGUAUGUGUAUUCCAAUUAAUAUUUAAUUAACCUCUCCUCUGUUUACCUACUAAUUUCAAACUAAAUUUAUUAAUUUAUUUAUUUACUCAUGCCCAUUACUUCUGUUCGCAUACGAAAAAUCUAUUGUAUUCAAAACACACUCUCCUUUUACCGCGAAUAACCGAUUUAAAUUAAUUUGCUUCCACUGUUUCAUUCAUAAAAACCUCUUAGCCGUGUACAUAUAUCAUAAUAAUGAAUAAAAUGCAUUGUUUUAGCAUCUAAGCAAAUUCUAUGUAAAUCAUAAUUAAAUAAGUUAAUCAUAGCGUGGGUUUUUUGUUUGAUAAGUUUGCAUAUUGUCUUUAUUCGUUGUCUUAAAAUAAUAGUGCAUUCAUUAUGAAUAUGUAUACACGUUUAUAUAUAAAUAUAAUUCUUAAUAAUUGUAAUAAUUGUUUGUUUAAAGCACUUUAUGGCUCGCUAACAUUUUUGCUUGCAAAUAUUCAAACAGUAAAUUUAACAGUUAAAAUAUUAUUAAUUAUAAUGACACUGAUUUGUGCUGAUAAAGUUUAUAUAUCUUAUAAAUUCAUUAAUUAGAUAUGUAUGUAUGUACAUGUAUACGCGUGCUAAAACGUCGAAUGGUAAUUUAUGUGAUAUUUUUAUGUAUAUAUAUAUGUAUGUGUUUAUGUACUAUAUUAUAAAUGAGCGCCGAUAGAAAUGCAAGAAGUUGCUAAGGAAUUAUGUAGUGAGCA